ensembl:lncRNA
ACCGUGGUCAAAGACGCGCUGUCCUUGCCCGCAGAGACUGUCUGGUCUUCACGCCCCUACACCGUGAAGGCCGAGCACCGGGUGAGGCCCGCGUUCCUGCGGCCACAGAGGGGAGGGAGGCCCCAGCGAUCCCAAACACGGAGUCCUGGACAACUCCCCACGCCCUCCCGCUGCGCGAAGGCCAGGCUGUCCCCCGGGCCCUCAGGGAUCCGCGCCCCUCCCAGGCUGCGAGGACUCGGACCGGCCGGGCUGCACGCAGGCGCACUGAAGCCCGGGCAGGGGCGUGUCGGAGGCGCGCAGGGAUGGGCCGGCGGGGGCGGGGCGGGGCGGGGCCGAUGCCUUUUCCGUUGCCUGGAACCCGCAGAAAGCAGCUGCCUGGAGCGUUCUCUGCCCGCGUCUCUGCCCGCCCUCUGCGCCGCCGCUCUCCCGGAGGUUCAGGUCUGGUUCUGCAUCAGUCACCUUCUCCUGACCUGGGCAGUCGCCAUGGCACAGGCGCUCAGAGGCACUGUGACUGACUUCCCUGGAUUUGAUGAGCGGGCCGAUGCAGAAACUCUUCGGAAGGCCAUGAAAGGCCUGGGUAAAUUCAGCCUUCUUUUUGUUCUAAAAAAAAAAUGUGACAUUUGUUUUUCUGAACAAAAAAGUCAUUGUUUUACAGUAAGAUUAACUUUAGAAUAUUUUGAGCUGAACAUAUAUAGAGAGAAACAUUAAAGGAACAAAAAAAAUGACUGACCACCCGUAGUAUUUAGUCUCUAGAACCAAACAGCAGUUAAAUUCAGCCUCUUUGUUUUUUUAGCUUUUCAGCUUUACCCAUAUGGUAGCUGACUGAGUAGAUAAACAGGCAUUCCUGAGGGUGAUCAGCUGUGCAGGCUUUUGCUCUCAGUGUCCAAUCAGAUAUCCAGUUCUAUAAGUUUCUUACAUCCGACUGUCUUCACUUUCUCAGCUUUCCUUUUUUGCAAUUUAAAAACCUCUCUUCUUGAGGACUUCCACAUAUAAUUAAUCCUCCUGUCCUCAGGCUCCUUCUGUACCAGUGUCCAUGUGAAGGGAUUCAUCUUCCUCAAACUUGGCUCUGACCCCAUCACUCUCCAUUCUGAACAUCUUGUGAGAUUUCCUGUUGUAGCAGGAUCAGGUGCAGGCUUUCUGGCCUUGUAAGGCCUUCCCUGGUAUUCCAGCCCACCUUGUCGGUCUCAGCGCACAUUACUGCCUGAUGUGUCCUCUGAUCCAUCCAUGCCAGGUGAUCUGCUACUCAGGAAAGCUCUGUAUUUUCCUACUGUUGAGCUUUUCCUGGAUUCUAAAAGCCUGUCUUUCUUCCUUACAUCACUGCCUGUCAAAAUCUUUUCAUCCUUCAAGACUGUUUUGGGUGGGUGUCACCUUCUCCAUGAAGCUUUUCCCAAAACUGUCUUCCGCUGCCUUUCAGCUACGAGAACCUCCUCUGAACCCCAUUUAACACCUGGACCUCUCCUGAGGCCCUUGUCACAUUCUGCCUUACCUCACAAAAAAAAAUUUGUAUUUUUUACCCUAAAUUGUUCAUAACUUGAAACCAGGGUCUAUAUCUUUUCUCCUUUCUCAACCCCUUGGAACACCCAACACAUCAUGCCUUGUGAAGAGCUGUUAUUUGAGUAAUUACUUGUUGCAAGAAAAGCUAGGUGCACUCAGUUUUUAAAAAGUCAGGAGAAUUUUUGUGUCUCCUUCACAAUGUGUAGGGGUAGUACGUAUUGUUGGAAGCAAUAACAUUUUGAUAUUGUAAAUUUUAUAGUUUAAUAAAU